UACGUAGGGGGCAAGCGUUGUCCGGAAUCAUUGGGCGUAAAGAGCGCGCAGGCGGCUUGACAAGUCGGGUGUGAAAUCCCGGGGCUCAACCCCGGGACUGCAUUCGAUACUGUCAGGCUAGAGGUAGGUAGGGGAGAUCGGAAUUCCUGGUGUAGCGGUGAAAUGCGCAGAUAUCAGGAGGAACACCGGUGGCGAAGGCGGAUCUCUGGGCCUUACCUGACGCUCAGGCGCGAAAGCUAGGGGAGCGAACAGG
rnacentral:rRNA from 1 species